AUGCGCAGCCCUCGGGCCGGCCCGGGCGCACCUUUUCUGUCUCCUGCCACAUUGUGAGCGCUCCGCCGCCCAGAUAACCGCCGGCUCCCCGCGCCGCCCCCGCCUUCUCCCACUCCGCCCACUGCCGGGAGCCCAGGGGAUGAUGCAGCAAGAAGACCCACACCAGAUGAGGGCACCUUGAUAUUGGAUUUCCCAGCCUCCAGAAUGAAGCCUGGGACUUGCCUCUGUGAUCUGGUGCUUUGGAGGGCCUUGGGCCUCAGGGCUAGCAAGGUCCCUUUCUGGAGAUUCCAGUUCCUCUGCCCGCCCUCCUUUACCUCUUUCUCCUCACACAUCUGUCUCAGGGAUGGGGGUGAGGGCUGCCAACCAGUGUUACCACUUGACAGACCACAAGAGGGCUGGUUCCAGUGCCUCCCUUGUUCAGCUGCUGACACUGCAGCUUGGCAGUCAUUGAAGGCAACAUUUAGCUCCUACAUCUGACCUGAUUGGAAGAUCAGGCUUCUGUCAUCCUGGUUUCCUGGCCUUGGAUAGUUCUUCACUAACUUUUACUCAUUAAGGCAGUGGGCAGAAAGCAGCAGAACCCUGUUUUUUCUUUUUUGGGGU
rnacentral:lncRNA from 1 species